rnacentral:misc_RNA from 1 species
CAGAACCGAAACCUUCCAACCAGUUGCUGUCGAGCGGCGGUGAGGGGAGGUUGCCCGCCGCCCCUCUCCCCUCACUCACUCGGUGCUUGUAGGGAAUAGUCACCGUCAUAGCUUAUCUUGCCCUGUGCCCGCUAGUGACCGGUCCUGUGGGUUCCUGCCUGGGCAGCGGUGAGCCUCAUGCCUGGAGGGAGGAGCGGCGGCCUGCAGAGAGUAGAGUUGCACGUGAGGCCAAACUAGAGGCGGAUUGGGUGGCUAGCACUGUUAAAGUGGGUGUGCCAACAGCUCUCGGCCUUCCCUCCCACUCUCUCUCUCUCUCUCUCUCUCUCUCUCUGACUCAAACAGCACGCCUCCUCUGUUACCAACUUACCAAGGUGUGCUUCGUGUCCAUGCAGCCGUAACAUCCAGGUUAAUUAAUCUACGUGCACGUCCGAUAAGGCAGGGCUGGAACGCUCACAGGACGAGUUGCUGCUCUUUAGAUGAUCAAGAUUUGUAGAACGACAGACAUGGAAACUAGCAACGAGGAAACGGAUGCCGAGGAGGAGGACAAGAGGCGUUGGUGCAGAAAGAUGAAGCCAGCAAUGUGGUACUUGAUGAUGAUCGUCGUGGGUUUCUUUUACGUGUACCUGACGGCCAUCCAGUACAUUAGAGGCCAGACGGUACACGAGCCGCCCUCCAACUACCUGAAGCAAUAUGACCCGCAGUACUUCGACGAGAGCCUCAUCAGCCCCUCCAACACGCUGACGUUCGAGUACCACAACUACACCUCGAUGACCGAUUUUCUGCGGGCCAUGAGCGCCACUUACCCCAACCUGACAGCGCUCUACUCCAUCGGCAAGUCCGUUCAAGGCCGUGACCUCUGGGUGAUGGUGGUGUCGUCCUCGCCCUACCAGCACAUUGUAGGUCAGCCGAAUGUCAAGUACGUGGCCAAUAUGCAUGGGAACGAGGCUAUAGGGAGGGAGAUGCUGCUACAUUUGAUUGAGUACCUCGCCAAAAACUACCAAACAGAUGACUACGUGCGUUGGCUUCUGGAUAACACGAGAAUCCACAUAAUGCCAUCUAUGAACCCUGACGGCUUUGAGGUCGCAAGGGAAGGAACGUGUCAGGGCGGCCAGGGCAGGUACAAUGCCCGAGGGUUCGACCUGAAUCGCAACUUCCCUGACUACUUCAAGCAAAAUAACAAGAAGAGCCAACCCGAAGCAGAGGCCGUGAAACAGUGGAUCUCCAAAAUACAGUUCGUCCUCUCUGCCAACCUUCACGGCGGAGCUCUCGUCGCGUCCUACCCCUUCGACAACUCGCCAAACACUACAAUGGACUGGUUACAACUUCUGCGCAUUUUAAACGAAACACAAGGCAAAGACGGUAGGGAGGAAGUCGAUUUUAAAAGUGUCUUCCAGCAGUUUACAUCAACACCUUCUCUGACGCCGGACGAGGACGUUUUCAAGCACCUGGCUAGCAUUUACUCCUUCAAUCACGGUACAAUGCACUUGGGUUUACCUUGCAAGCCCGGCGCACCUGCCUUCACCAAUGGUACCACGAACGGAGCUGCCUGGUACCCUCUUACAGGUGGGAUGCAGGACUACAACUACGUCUGGCAUGGCUGUAUGGACAUCACUAUUGAAAUGUCCUGCUGCAAAUACCCCAUGGCGAAGGAGCUGUCCAAGUUCUGGGAAGACAAUGAGAAGGCGCUGGUGCAUUACCUUGGCGAGGUGCACAGGGGCGUGCGAGGCUUCGUAACGGACGCUGAGGGCCGCCCCGUGGAAGGAGCCUCGCUUAAAGUGAAGGGGAGGGACGUUGGCUUCCAGACCACAAAGUAUGGCGAGUAUUGGCGUGUCCUGCUGCCCGGACACUACAGUCUUGAGGUGUACGCCAGUGGUUACGACCCAGCUGUGGAGGAGUUUUCUGUAGUGGAGACCAACCCUACACUCCUGAACAUCACUCUGUAUCGUGCCUCGCCCGAGCCAGACGUCCUGCCCAGCGGCCCGAACCUUCACCACGGAGCGCCGCAGCCUCCGCCACCCUCUGCUGCGGUUCCUCAGAGCAAUCCUAGCGCUUCCUGUAUCACUGCCACGCUCGCUUUGGGCGUUGCUGUGCGUUCGCUUUGGUCAUAACAGAGACGAGGACUUAUCGACACCCUUGAGCUGUCACUUCCUUCAACUCUCCUUAUGUUUUGAUGGUUUUAGAGCUGAAGAUAAAUAUUCUUUUGUUAUUUAAUAUGUUGAAAAUAAAAAAACAAUUACAAAUAUAGCUUUCAUGUAUCGGUAAAACUAACAGGGGGCACAGUUUUUUUUUUUUUUUUCUACCUCUAGUCAGUGUAUUCCUUUAUGUACAUAUUUUUGACCACUGACGUUUUAUGAAAAGUCAGACUUACUUGACAUCGAGUGUGCACGUGUGACAAAAUCUUAUCCGUAUAUAUUGCACAACGUGUAUAUAGGUUAAGGUUCCUUCAUAUGACGAACUCUGUUUGCAUUAAGCUAGAUUAUCUUUUAUAUUCUAUUCAACUCGAGUGCUUAGAAAUAUUCAGUAACUAUCAAUCGCCUCCACCACUGAGAAUGCUUUCGAGUUAUCUCUUGCACUAAUAACAAAGAAAAUCAGUUUAAUUUCUUAAUUUCACAAGCGUAAAUUUUAAAUCUAUGUAUGUAGUUGCAUUCUGAACAGAGAUUUAAUUUUUGAAGAUAACAGUUUUAGUAGCAUCGAAAAUGAAUAUCUAUACAAUCAUUUAGAUACUUCCAAAUUACCACACACACAGCUCACACUUUCCGCAGCAGCGAACGCGAAUACUAAGAACAGUGGUCUAUAUAGUCACCUGAACUCAAAUUACUUUCCUUACCUACACGAGUUUAUUUUACUAAUGACUAACACAUCAUCGCAUCAUUCAAGUCAACCCUCAUAUCCUUAACGCCGCUACACACCUGAACGUUGUGUAAAUGCCCGUGACUAGGAUUGCUCACCUGCCCACUCCACCAAGACCCACCUGACGCAGAAAACGGGAAGUGGAGGAUUGCAUGGCGUCUCCACCUACCACUAACCACAACACGGGACCGCGUGAGCCAUAACCGUCGCCCUGGCUUCAUCGGGGGCCCUGGACAGCAGCAAGGCUCGGCUCCCAACAACCAGGGCGUAAUAUCCGGCUUCUUCUCCUCCAUCUCUGACCAGAUAUCCAGUGUCUUCAAGAUGUUCGGCUGAAUGGCUUUUGUCUGUCCCCUUAUAGA